GGGGAAUCUUGCGCAAUGGACGAAAGUCUGACGCAGCGUCGCCGCGUGGGGGAAGAAGGCCUUCGGGUUGUAAACCUCUUUCAGCAGGGACGAAGCCACUCGGGUUAAUAGCCCAGAGGGUGACGGUACCUGCAGAAGAAGCCCCGGCUAACUACGUGCCAGCAGCCGCGGUAAUACGUAGGGGGCAAGCGUUGUCCGGAUUUAUUGGGCGUAAAGAGCGUGUAGGCGGCCAGAUAGGUCGGUUGUGAAAACUGGAGGCUUAACCUUCAGACGUCGACCGAAACCAUCUGGCUAGAGUCCGGAAGAGGAGAAUGGAAUUCCUGGUGUAGCGGUGAAAUGCGCAGAUAUCAGGAAGAACACCCGUGGCUAAGGCGGUUCUCUAGUACGGUACUGACGCUGAGACGCGAAAGCGUGGGGAGCGAA
rnacentral:rRNA from 1 species